UACGGAGGGUGCAAGCGUUAUCCGGAUUCACUGGGUUUAAAGGGUGCGUAGGAGGGCAGGUAAGUCAGUGGUGAAAUCUCCGAGCUUAACUCGGAAACUGCCGUUGAUACUAUCUGUCUUGAAUCCCGUGGAGAUGAGCGGAAUAUGUCAUGUAGCGGUGAAAUGCUUAGAUAUGACAUAGAACACCAAUUGCGAAGGCAGCGCGUUACACGAAGAUUGACUCUGAGGCACGAAAGCGUGGGGAUCAAACAGG
rnacentral:rRNA from 1 species